UAGGCUUAUACUCGAGUAUAUACAGUAAUUGCUUUUCACACUUGGAUUUUUUCCCAGUCCUAAUAUAUACAGCCUUCUCCAAUAAUGAUUGUGCGUGUGUCUUAUUAGAUCUCAAGUACUCAAGUGCCUUACAGGAGUCCUGAUGGUUGUUAUAUAGCAUCCAGUUUUGAAUAAAAAUGUUGAAAAAAGGUCCCAUUUAUUAUAAAGAUAAAAAAUGAAUGCCAAAGUAAACUGAAGCAGCAAGGGGAGUAAAAACUUUAGUGAUCAUAAAGAGACAAAUAUAUUUUUACCAGGAUCAAUAGGGUAGAGUCAAAUUGCUUGUAACAAAUAUGCACUAAACGUAUUAUUUUGAAUACUGAUUAUGUAUUGAUUUUGUUUUUAGAGUUCAUUCAGAUUGAUCAUCCUGUCACACCCCUCACAUCCCAUUUUUUCCCAAAGGGGAAUUCUAUUUUUCACUUGAACUGGUAAAUGGAGACCAAAACCUCAUUGGCUGUGCUAAUCUCACUGUACAAUAUGUAAUAUGAGCACAAUAAACAGAGCUUGUGAGA